ACGUCUCCCGCUUUCAAUGUGGAAGAGUAGGCCAAAAUAGCCUUGGAGGGCCUUCCUGAGCUCCCUCAAGUUGAAGCCCUUCUGUCAGCAGUGGCAUGAGCAAGUAAUUGCCGGGCUGCACGUUUUUACGUGCGUGACGUCAUUUAUGGAUGGCCCCAAAGUCACUCCGUUGAGUGAUCAUUCGUGGCCAGGUCGAUUCCGAGAAAGAGCAGCAACAGCUCCAGAGUGGGGGAGCCCUCCCAUCCCUUACCUGGCGGCGCUAAUCGGCCCAUCCGCACGGGUCACCUUUGACCUCUGGGCUCUGUCAUCACCGG